rnacentral:rRNA from 1 species
GUUAAAAAGCUCGUAGUUGAAUUUCUGCCGCAUCGCGGCGGCCCUCCCGGGCCCAGCGUUGCGGCUUAUUUCGGACUCGCUUGCGUCUCCGAAUGUUUACUUUGAGAAAAUUAGAGUGCUCAAAGCAGGCCCUUGCCUUGAAUACUUUAGCAUGGAAUAAUAAAGUAGGACUUUGGUUCUAUUUUGUUGGUUUAGCGCCAAAGUAAUGGUUAAUAGGAACAGUUGGGGGCAUUCGUAUUUAACUGUCAGAGGUGAAAUUCUUAGAUUUGUUAAAGACAAACUACUGCGAAAGA